UCCUGGCUGAGCCAAAGGUUAGAAGCAUCUGACAGACUGAAUCUCAUAAAAAGCUGAGAAACUGAAGAAACUGCUUUGCAGAUUUAACUUCUGUCUAUUUUUGUGGAAGUGAUCAUCACCCAAAAGCUUUAAUAAUG